GUUUCUGACAUAAUAGAAUGAAAGAAGAUCAGAGCAGGAAGAUAUUUUAGAGAUUGGAGCCCUGGCCCAGAAAUUGGUUGUUAUGAUUUGAGAAGAGUCAAAGAUUUUCCUAGGUAUGGCUGAGAUGCUAACAAAUGUACCUUUCCAGUAGUAAUGUAUGCAUAUCAUAGAGUGCUCUACUUGAAGAUGACUCUGUAUCUUCCCUUGGAACCUUAGGAAGGAGCGCUACAUUUGAUCUUUCUACACUCUGCAGCUGUGGAACCUAUAACAUGUUUUGCUGCCAUUCAUUCAUAGUAUGCAAGAUGAGUUUUAUAUAGUACCUAGGAAAGUGCCUGGUACAUAGUAGGCACUCAAUAAAUGCUGGUUGGCUGACUGAUUGAAUGAAUAAAUGCAUGAAUCUAUGGUUUGAGUCAACUUGAUAUGAUUUAAAGAAACAGAAAUGCUUCCUCUCUGCCUGCAAAUGACAAAACUCCCAUAUGCAUCCAUUUUGGGGGGUUAAAGCUUUAGAAGGCAGUUAGAGUGCAACUAUACCAAAUGAGUUCCUUUUUUUUGAGACAGGAGUCUGGCUCUGUCGCCCAGGCUGGAGUGC
rnacentral:lncRNA from 1 species